AUCGAUUUCGGAUGCCUUGAUCCGACCGCUGAAUGUGGGCACUUAGGCGGCCGGGGAGCAGGUAGUGCAACCGACCGUUCCGCAC
rnacentral:ncRNA from 12 species